rnacentral:rRNA from 1 species
UGAACUUAAGCAUAUCAAUAAGCGGAGGAAAAGAAACCAACAGGGAUUGCCUCAGUAACGGCGAGUGAAGCGGCAACAGCUCAAAUUUGAAAUCUGGCCCCCAGGCCCGAGUUGUAAUUUGUAGAGGAUGAUUCUGGCGACGCGCCUUCCGAGUUCCCUGGAACGGGACGCCAUAGAGGGUGAGAGCCCCGUCCGGUCGUGCGCCUAGCCUCUGUGAAUCUCCUUCGACGAGUCGAGUAGUUUGGGAAUGCUGCUCUAAAUGGGAGGUAUACGUCUUCUAAAGCUAAAUACCGGCCAGAGACCGAUAGCGCACAAGUAGAGUGAUCGAAAGAUGAAAAGCACUUUGAAAAGAGGGUUAAAAAGUACGUGAAAUUGCUGAAAGGGAAGCGCUUAUGACCAGACUUGGGCGUGGUGAAUCAUCCGGCGUUCUCGCCGGUGCACUUUGCCUGUCCAGGCCAGCAUCAGUUCUCCCCGGGGGAUAAAGGCUUCGGGAAUGUAGCUCCUUCGGGAGUGUUAUAGACCGUUGCGUAAUACCCUGGGGGGGACUGAGGUACGCGUU